GGGCCGUAGCUCAGCUGGGAGAGCACCUGCUUUGCAAGCAGGGGGUCGUCGGUUCGAUCCCGUCCGGCUCCACCAU
rnacentral:tRNA from 1 species